ensembl:scaRNA
GUUCAGUGACUAACAGUAGAAGGUUUGAUUUUUGGGGAUUGCUCUCUAAUCACUUCCCCUGUUUCCAGCAGCCUGUUCCCUCAUGCUACAUUAGUUCUGUGAUUGGCAAAUAAGUAUCUAAUAAUUUGUGAUGAUUGUACUUCAUGUUCCAAGGGGCCCUGACUGUGGUUGGCAUCAGACAGAAACAGUCAUGGAAAUCUGCUGAUGGGAGCAACUCUGGAAUCUCUGGAGAUCUCAGGCUUUCAAGCUGAGAC